UUUCCUCCCUUCUCCUCCUCCCUUCAGCGCUCCCCGCCGCUAGCCACCGCCCUCUUUCCUUUCCCUCCUUCCCUCACGCCCCCGAGGCGGCGAGGAGCUGCUCACACAGGCCCGGCCCCGGCUCGAAGGUGAACUCACUAUAUUGUUACCCACCUCGCGAACAAGAAGAAAGCUUAUUUUGGUCUCUGUACAUUUAUACAUUUCCACAGCAAGGGCCCACCUCCUCAUUCUACAGACAACAGCGGCAUACCAACAGAGCUCCUCUUUCCUCAGACAACAGCAGUCCGUAGCACAGCAUCAACACUGAACAGAGACCGAGGCUGUAUAACAGCAAAACCACCAAAUGCUCCUGUAUCACCUGUCUGGGACAGCACACGCACCCUAAGAGGAUGGUCCAGUGAGCUGUUGCAACUAAGUGAAAGACUGAUGCGGAACUGCAGUCCCUCUAGAUUUGGUAUUACACAGCGGUGCCAGUGAAUUUUUGCAGUAAAACUACAAACCUGAGACUGAGGUGAAAUCACUACUCAAGUACUAUGUGGUAACUUGAUAAUCUAGGAGGUAGACUUGAAAGAUCACUGGCAAGAAAAAAAAAAAAGGAUUUAUCAUGAUCACACUGCACGGAACAUUGGAAUAAUGAGCAGCAACACAUAAAGAGAAGGGUCUCAAACUUCCAGCAUCUGAAAGAAAAAUACCUGUGCACCUUAGGGUAGCUACGGAUUGUCAUCACUGCCAUCUAUUAUUCAAGGGUACUGCGUUCCUGUAAGAUACCAGCUGACUGCACCAACCUCCCGGGCAAAGAAGAACAAAGGAUACUGUUCCUACCUGAUGGCUGCCACUUUGGUUUGGACAGGACCAUACAAGGACCAGGACUGAAGGAAAAAAUCUACCAAAAAUAUCCUUGGAGAAAAAAAAUUACACCAUUUCCUACAGCAAUUUGGAGGCAGCUCAGAUCCACCACCGGACUUGAAGCUACUUUUUAUCCAUUUCUCUCUUAUCUUCCCUCGUCCCCACCCUGGAGAGAAGCUUUCUUUUUUGUUUUCUUUCCUUUGGAAGAAAAACUGACUUGCUACUCAAAUUUUUUUUGUACUGCACAACAGUACGUUUGUAAGCCACCUAAAAGAACGCUUAUAUUUUCAGAGAAUUUUGAAUAUGUAAUAAUGAGUGAUUUUAAAGUAUCCAAUAAUAUAUUCUAAAAAAAAUCUUUUUGACUUUUGGAAAAGCAUUCCAGUGUUAUUAUGUCAUUUUGUUUUACAUGGCACGCACUGGUAAGAGGAGAGAUGACACAGAUCUUAGUUAAUUUCCAGCUCAGGUGAUUAUGCUCUUGCAGUGGAAUAUGCCAGUUGCUGUUUUAACUGGAAAAAUAUUCAGUUCCGAAAUGGUAUGUGUAGUUUUGCCAUUCUCCGAUACAAACACUUGCUGUCACUUACCACUGGGAAGCCUACGUAUUCUGUGGCACAACCCGAGUUCUUUGGUGCUUGUCAGAACUGGACUCAUCUGUAUUCUUGUUUAUUCUUACAACUCUUUGUUAUUAGAGAACAGGAAUACUAGACCCACUCACUGUGUGGAUCUUGUCCAUGUAACACAGCUGGUAAAACUUCCCAGGGAGUUAGGUGAUUUGCCACGAGCAAGUAAACAGCCAAAAGCAUCCAGGCCAGCCUGUUCUCUUAGUAGUGGAGGCUCCUGUAAGGGAAUGAUUAAAGGGAGAACAACCUCUAAGCCGCAAACACACUGAGAAGGAGAGGGUUGCAAAUUUCCUUCAUUUAACUCAGUAAAAACAUACACAUGAAAUAAAAUCAAAUUUUGCAUGUCCUUUUGACCAGUCUAUCUGUUCCCCAACCUUGUCAUACCCCCUAAGACAUAAACAUACCUGGAACUCACAGUAGUGAGCCUAUUUGUAAACUAAGAUGAUAACUCACUCAAUAUUGACAGGAAGAGUUGCUUGCUGAGAUGAAUCUUUCUGGGCAUAAACAUGCAUAAAAAACAUUCAUUCUUGUUCCCUGUAACCUGCAAAGAUACAUGUGCUUCCUUCUAACCUGGUCUUAGCCUGGCUUAUCUGCUCUAAAAAUCAGAACAAUUCCUAAUAUUCACACACAUUUUCAUGUGCAGCUCUGUGGCAUCUUCUUUCAAUACAAAUUGGUUAUUAUCUCAAAAUAUAUAUAACAAGUCUCAGCAGAAAUUUUGGUGCUACAUCUUCAAGUCUCUGAGGGACCCGCAGUUUGAUGUGGUUAUUUUCACUUCCACAAACCCUCAUGCGAGAUACGCAACCUCAUCAAUGACCAAGGAAAUAGCCUAUGUACUGGUAGUAUCACGUAAGUAUUUAUGCAGUUCACCUGAAAUGGGCCAUUUAGUUGUGGAGCGCAUACUGAGGAUGUAUGCAGGUGCGUGUGCUCCUGUAGGCACACAGCUGCAUACAUGGCCAGAAACCUAUUGGCGUGUGUGUGUGUGCUAUUUGUAUAAGGAGAAA